rnacentral:lncRNA from 1 species
GGGGGACUGGAUUGACCACAGAAAGCUCAAACGCUCACAGACGUUGGUUACAUGAAUAGAGGUGAACGGGAUUCAGUUUCUACAAAAACGUCGUACUUACCAACACUGUAAAAGGUGGAAGGGCUGAUUUGCAAUGAGAAUGAAAUAGGCACACAUUCAGGAACAUUUGGACACACCUGUGAUUUACGCAAGCCACUGCGAUCCCUCCUUUGGACCCAUUACUGUCAAUUAUGUCUACAUGAAAUUUCCUCUCACUUCAUUCCAGCACAACACUCAAUGCAUGAAGCUGGUGACCGAUUCCCCAAGACAACUAAAAAGAAGCUAUUCCAGGAGAGACAGGACAAGGACUUUCAGAAUUCGGAGCUCAGCAUCAAGGUUUGUUUUGGAAGUGCUUGGCUCAGUUCUCUUUGUGCAAGCAUACGUGAUCCAGACAGCCUUGGCUUGCAGCUCAACUUUGCAGGUCAGUUACACAACAAGUAG